GAGUCUGCAAAGUCGCUGAGGUUCUGGGACAGCGCGGCGUCACCGAGCGUGAGCCUUCCGCCCGGGGACGCGGCCGCCACAGCUCGGGACGCGGGGAGCGCGGCCGGCGCGAGCUCAAGACCCGGCCCGACGUGCUCACUGCGGCAGCGGCGCCUCCUGGACGGGGACCCAGGGCCCGGACCGCGCUCUUCCCGGGGGCGCCGCCGAGCCCUCGUCCCUGCCGGGCCCGGCUGCCGCAGAGAUGGCGCCUUGCCAAGUUCCCCAGGCAUUAACCCGGAAACAACCUGGCGGGUCAGGGAGAGCCUCUUCUGCUCAGAGGUCAUUGUGCCCAGACUUGAGCCCUGGCUGUGAAGUCCCUGAGGCCCCUCACUCCAGGGACGGGAAGCACCAAAGAUGUGAUGUUUCCUCCUCGGUUUCUGAGACUGCCUGGAAGCGGGGGGUGGAUAGUGGUGAGCAGCCGUCUCCUCCUUUCCUGAGAACAUAAAUCAGAAACGCUUUCUGAGGCCGGGCACGGUGGGUCAUGCCUGUAAUCCCAGCACUUUGGGAGGCUGAGGUGGGUGGAUCACCUGAGGUCAGGACCAGCUUGGCCAACAUCGUGAUAACCCCCUCUCCACUGAAAAUACAAAAAUGAGCCAGGCAUGUUGGUACGUGCCUGUAAUCCCAGCUACUUAGGAGGCUGAGGCAGAAGAAUUGCUUAAACUCGGGAAACGGAGGUUGCAGUGAGCUGAGAUUGUGCCACUGCACUCCAGCCUGGGCUACAGAGUGAGACUCUUGUCUCAGGAAAAAAAAAAAAAAAAAAGUGCCUCAAAAAUAAACAAUUAAAAAUGUUCUUAUGGUCUUCACAAAAAUAAACUUUUUUAAAAAAGAAAAACAAAGUAAAACGCUCUCC
rnacentral:lncRNA from 10 species